UAUUAUUGAAGGGAUGACUGAACAGGAACGUACGUGUGCAAUCCAAUUUGAUUCAUUAAAAGUUACUGACACGGACAGUAAUGUCGUUACAUAUUCUUUAGGACUGCAGCUUAGUGGGUUAUGUAACGAGUGGAGGAUACUAUUGGGCUUUUUACUAACACGGGAAUAUAGCAUUUCGGUACUGGAAGGUGUACUUCGAGAAGUACUCGUUGGGCUAAAGGGACUAUCAUUGAAAAUAGUUUCACUAAUUUGCGAUAGACAUAGUGUUCAUGUUCAAUUCUUCCAGCAAUAUCGCGGCUACCUUGGACCAAAUCGUCUGUGCUUUCCUCCAAAUUCAGAAGAUACUUUACAUUGUAUGUUCGAUAUUCCCCACUUGCUAACUAAUUUAUUAAAUUACUUUUUCGACAAUCAAGUUUUUAUUAAAAGCAGGUUGGGCAAACAGAUAGAUGUCGCUUCUCCCGCACUAAUUUUCAAAAUUUUUGAGUCUAAAAACGAUUUAGAUGCUAGUAAUAUUACUUGUUCGCAAUUGCAAAAAACUCAUUUUGCAACAAGGUACUACAAAUCGUAUUCAUACGAAAAUAAGCCAAUGGAUAGAGCGACAGCUAUUUUUAACAGAAACGUGCUUGCCGCUCUUGACAGUGAUAUAUUUUCGGAAACCGAGCAAGUAAUGGUAGAGGCGACCAAAAAAUUAUUUGCUGGUAUAAUACCAAUUGUAGAGCUUUGCACGAACAAUUUCAUAAAUAAUGAUAAAAAUGAGGCGUGCGCAAUAGCUUAUAGAUCCAUAUUUUUUUUGCAAUUUGUUGAGUGCGGCAACAUACCUUUUAUGCUUCAGCAAUCAUUGGAAACAAUGACGUCUCUAUUGCUGGAGUAUGAAGGGAUUAAACCUAAACACUGUGUCAAUGAUGGCAUAGAGUAUGACUUUGCAGAAAUUAGGAAACGUUGCGGUGGUAGACCUGCUUUUAAUGAUCUUAUUAAUGUUAAAUCUAGAUCCGAUUGUGUUAUUAAACUAACCAGAUCUAUUGACAGAACAUUAUUUUGGUCCGAAAAGUGCUUUAACGCGUAACGUCUUUUUUAUUAAUACAAGCCACUUGAUUUGUUUUCAUUUGAUACAAAAACAAGACGCACGUUAGAAGCCUCGCUUUGUGCUUUUUUUUUUUUUUGUUAAUACAUUAAAAUGUCUAACGUAUAAUAGUAUCUUCUUUUGCCACUCAUUAGCCUUUAUUUGUCCGAUUGAUACGUUUGGUUUGGUUGUUCCGUUCACGUCUGUCUGAUAUUUGGUUUAUCGUGCAUAUUGAGCUUUUGCUGCUUGUUUUCGAGUUGCGUUUACCUACAAAAUGAUGAUUAGGGGCUCUCUGUUGGCUUAUUGGAAUAUUUUUUUUAAAAUCUUUUAAAUAAGUCACAAUAGAGCAGAUAAUCAGAAAUAUACGAAACGUAACAAUGGUUUGAAACUUAUUUUUUUUUGUACUUUUGUAUAUAUAGCCGCAGUUGUAGUAAUUAGAAUUUUUACUGUUUUAAUGUUUUUAAUACAUAUAUUUAUUUUCUAGUUAUAGAUGGGGGUUAUAUGGGAAAGUGAAGCGAAUACAAAACUUUUGUACACAAAGCCUCUCCUUUCCAAAUGUCAACCUCGCCCACACAUGGUGGCCCCUGUUUUCGCUAAAGAGGCUCUGGCGAAAAACUUACUCGUGGAUUCUCCUGGGCUUUCAUAAAGGAAAUAUUUUUUAUUUCAAAUUUUCGAGCAUCCACUCGAUGGACCCUGUGUGGAUUCAGAAUUAAUAACCGACAUAUAUGCUUCUUCUUUUUCAGACGCUCCCCAACAUACGUACUUGCAACGUAGAUGUACUAGGUAAUCGCAUCAGCCAUGUACUAGGUAAUCGCAUCAGCACCAUUAAAUGUCAAAACAAAUUGUAAUGAAGAAUUCGCCCUAAAAGUACCUUUUUAUUGAUUGCCGGCCAGAAAUCAAGAACUUUGUUAAUUACUAAUAAAUUAAAGCUGAAAAGUAAUGCAAUAUGUUUCCAAUGAAUAUAUUUAUAAAACAACCCAAGAGUGACGCACAGAAAACGAAAGCCCCUGCUUAAAUAAACAAAUAAAAAAUAUUAACUGAUAUCUUCAUAGAUAUCCGAUAUUGUGUCAUAGAGUAUCUAAUAUCGCAAUAAAGAAAGAUUCAAGCAACGACGACAACAAGUGGUUGACAUCAAUUGAGUGGGGUUAUUAGCAACAACGAGCAAGCAUCCUUGAGGGGUCGACGGUCUACUUUUUUUAUUGGUUGAAAAAAACUUUAC